rnacentral:rRNA from 1 species
UACGUAGGUGGCAAGCGUUGUCCGGAUUUAUUGGGUUUAAAGGGCGCGUAGGCGGCCUUGUAAGUCAGUGGUGAAAUACUCUAGCUUAACUAGAGGGGUGCCAAUGAUACUGCAGGGCUUGAGUACAGAUGAGGUAGGCGGAAUUGACGGUGUAGCGGUGAAAUGCAUAGAUAUCGUCAAGAACACCUAUAGCGAAGGCAGCUUACUGGGCUGUAACUGACGCUGAGGCACGAAAGUGUGGGGAUCAAGCAGG